GAUACCAAGACUGGCACACGCAGACACGCAGCAAAAUAGAGCUUCUCUUCUUCACAAUUUUGAAACUGAUUGAAAAUUUUGAAAUUGGAAAGCUCGUAUUUUAAUACGACAGGGUAUUUUUUUGGUUGGUAUUGGUGGUGGCUUUUUGUCUUGGAGACGCUGUUUAGACCUGCCCUCUACAGACACUUUUGCGUGGAGUUGUUGUCAGCCAUCAACUCACCCCCAGCAUCGAUGACACGUAUUCUUUCUCAGCUUUGUUUGCACUCCAGCCACGUGGCAAAGCCACUGGCUACCUAUCUAGGGCUGCACUGGGGACCACUGAUCUGGAGGCUGUCUUCUGGGAAAUGAGGGGAUGUCACGCACCCCACAAAGUCUCCGCACCUGUGCUCUUUGCCAGGUUUUGUGGAUGGCUGUGUCUUGCAGGCGUUGGCUGUAGAAAUGUCAUUCUCUUCCUUACUCUGCUUUGUCUGAGGAUAACAUUGUGUGGAAUUAUCCUGCGAUCCUUUUCUGUGGCUCACUUUCACCGGAGAGGGACUUCCGGUCUGCAUCAUUUCCAAAGCUUCUUUGAAGACAAACCCCUUCUUGUAGAGUGAAAACUCUAAGGUAUUAAGCAAUCAACAUUUUUCACAGGUUCUUUCUGCACAAGGAAGAGACUGUGGAUCGCCACGCCAUGAUGGUACAUGCGCCCUUGGCCUCAGCCAUCAGGAAGAAGAGGUGAAUCCGCAUUCUUCCUAUUUCCACAGAGGUGGGAAAAAGUGAAAACAACCUACCAGAUGUUUUUGCUGAAGCCUUCCUAGGCGAAUGCUGUCAUGUCCCUGACACACACAUCUGCCUAAAUGGUAACCAGAGAGAAUGGCGACUCAUCCCACGACCCCUCCAUCCUCUUUUGUCUCUGCUUCUGUUCCACAUAAAAGUCUUUUCUCACCGGAAGAUUCGAGCAGCACUCGUGACCUCCGCAGAGAUCAUCCCACGAAGACCCUGCUAGGGUUUCGGUUGCAACAGCC